UUCCCCGCUGUCUUUACCUCUUGGAGCUGAUGGACGGCUGCUGUUGCUCUGAGCUGGAGGUGCUGCGACCCAGACCCGCUGGUUUACAAGAGGUGACGUGUUCUUUAAUGCUGCUCCCGCUGCUGCUCUCCCGUCUGCAUCGAUCUCUGUCCGGCAACGAGCUCUGGCACCACACGUGGAAGGCUCUGCAAUCAAUGGCUAUUGAACCUUCUCUGGUAAGGACCUGCACAUAUGGCAGAGGCUCUCAACUCCAGUCCCCAAGUACCCCCAACAGGGCAUGUUUUCUGGAUUUCUUCAGUCAUGAACAGUUACAUACGUGUGCUCUUCACCUAAAGACAUGCUUAAAGAAUAUCCAUAAGGUGAUCCAGAAAGCCAAUGAAAUACUGUGCAGCAUUAGUCAGCCCUCUGUAUGCAGUGAAGUGCUGCAGUCGACUCGGGGAACAGAUUACAUCUCAGGUGUGGUUGAAGUCUACAGAGUGUCAAAGAGAAUGGAAGGAGGAAUGAGAACACACAACAUUGAUUGUGAGAGAUUGCGGCUUCUCCUGCGGGAUAUUGAGUUAUCUUGGAAUAACUUGCAGGCCUUUCUCUCCAUGUGUCCCAGUGUACUACAGAAACUGCCCUCCCUGUCAGCAUUAGGUUGUGAAGUUGAAGAAACCACCUCUGAUUCAAACUUCUGCCUUCAGAGGUGCUGUGGGGUAUGUCUCCUGGAAAGCCUGGAGGAGGAGGGGAAUGUACCCAUGAUUCAACAGUUUUACCCAGGAUACACUUCUGCAAAGCCACUCCAGUAUUGGACCAGUUUACCCCACUCUACCAUGGACAUCCUACUUGUGAUGUGGACCUGAACCUCCGCCAUGUUAGAGUCACUCUUUCAGAUCUUGUGGAGUAUCCUUCCCGAUUUGCAGGAGCCAGCCUGGAUUUGAAGGGACCGGACAGUUCCCCUGCUGUACCAUGGGCGACCUACUUGUGAUGUGGACCUGAACCACCGCCAUGUAGUAGACAACCUCCCUCAGGUCUUGCGGAGUAUCCUUCCCAAGUUGCGUGGAUGUGGAGGGACACGACAGUUCCCCUGAUGUACCAUGGGCAACCUAACACAAUACCAUUGCAUCUCUGAAAUGCCAUAUUUUACAUUUUAUUUACUAAUAAUUUAAAGAAA